UUUAGAGGUAUAAAUUUACUAAAAUAGGAAAGUAAUGCGGUGCCAAAAAAGGAAACAAGGUGGAGAGGUGGAGAGAGGGAAGAGGGGGGGGCGUAAAACCGAUCGCUUUGGGCGAGCGAGGGCGAUCGCUCGCCCAGUAGCAUUCCCGGGUUUAAUCGGCAUGUGGCACGUGCUGGAGCAUCAUCUAUGUCCCCAAGUAAGUAAUCUAAUCUUACCUUAGUUCUAUCUUUAAGCAUUUUAAGAAAUUGUAAUUAAAAUGUUAGUUCAUAUGGAUUAUCUCUUUGCUGUUGAAAACUAUCCAGAAUGGAAAAAAUUUGCAUUGGCUUUAUAUAGUGACUUGAUUAAAAUAUGUACUUUUUUGUCUUAUACUUCCUCCGUUUUACAAUGUAAGUCAUUCUAGCAUUUCCCAUAUUCAUAGUGAUGUAUGUCUAGAUUCAUUAACAUCAAUAUGAAUGUGGGAAAUGGUAGAAUGAAUUACAUCGUGAAACGGGGGGAGUAGAAAAGAUAUAAGUGGAGCAAUAUGAAGCAAGAUGUACUUUUUUUGUCUUACAGAUUACUUGUAUCUGUAAUUAUGGAGCAAUAUGGAAGCUCAAAGUUACUUGUUUUCACCCUAAUAAGUACAUACCAAGUGUCUCUUCUUUCUGUUCAAUCAAUAUUGAUUUGUAGUGCUGCUGGUAAUUUAAUCAAAUGGCACAUUUGUUCCUAAUUUGGCAGGUGCUUGGUGGUUCCAAUUUGGAGAAGUUCCUACUUUACAAAAGUAUGCACCGCGUAUUGUUUCACAAUGUGUGUCAUCCAGUGGCUGUGGGAGAAACCGGAGCACUUUCGCAUUGGUGCAUACGAAGAUUAGGAACCGUCUAGGCUAUGACAAGCUACAUAAGCUUGUAUAUGUUCAUUAUAGCUUGAAAGUACGCAUCCAAGAGAAUGAGAGUGGACAACUAAAGGAAGUUGAUCCAUGUGCUAUGAUGUUGGAUGCUGCAGUAUUUGAUGAGGAAAAUCCAAUAUGGGACUAGUUGGAUAAGUCUAUGGAUGAAGUAGGUCCUUCUUUGAAUGGAAUAUAUCAAAGCUUAGAGAGGAAUUUUUCUGCUGGUGGUAACAGGAAAGGAAAGAGGUCAAGAGUGGAUAAGGAGGAUGAGGAAAUUGAGUUUGAGGAAAGUGAAGAUGGAGAGGAAGAGGUUGAAUUCGAUGAUGCCUCAUCUGGUGCUGAAGAUGAUAAUGGUCAUGAUGUUAGUAUUGAUGGACUAAAUGCUAAUAAUGAUGACAAUGGUGACGAGCUUAUGGGAACCUCAACCAGGGUUGAAGAAGACAUAGAAGCUUCAGGUAGAUCUGGUUGACUCAAGCGAAAGAAGAGAAUGAUCCAAAGCCUCUACCAACGAGAGUAGCACGUCACUUCUGUAAGGUACAGUCCAGCAAGUAUGGAGUACUGUUUUGGAGGCAUAGAUGAUGAUUCGGUGUUUUGUUUGGCGGCAUAGAUGAUGAUUCGGCGUCAUGGUUAGACACCAUCAAAAUGCAUGAUGCCACUGGCAAUUGACAUUUGAUAGCUGACCUUUCUUUUGGUAUAUGGAUGUAAUUCUUUUGGGUGUACCUAUGGCUGGACUGUAAUUAUUUUAGACUUUGGACUCUGAUGGAGUGAUGACUAGACUUGUCGACUAUAGUUAUGUGGUUAUGACUAUGAACUUACUAUUAGGACUAUGGAUAUGCAGUUGUCAAUUGGUUGUUUGGACUGCAUAAUUGCAUUUGUUGUUAUGAGCUUGGAUGUGCUAAUAUGGUUA